rnacentral:rRNA from 1 species
GACGAACGCUGGCGGCGUGCUUAACACAUGCAAGUCGAACGGAAAGGCCCUGCUGUUGUGGGGUGCUCGAGUGGCGAACGGGUGUGUAACACGUGAGUAACCUGCCCUUGACUUUGGGAUAACUUCAGGAAACUGGGGCUAAGAACGGAUAGGAGCUCCUGCUGCAUGGUGGGGGUUGGAAAGUUUCGGCGGUUGGGGAUGGACUCGCGGCUUAUCAGCUUGUUGGUGGGGUAGUGGCUUACCAAGGCUUUGACAGGUAGCCGACCUGAGAGGGUGAACGGGCACAUGGGGACUAAGGUACGGCGCAGUAUCCUACGGGAGGCAGCGGUGGAAAAUAUUGCGCAAUAGUGGGAAGCGUGAUACGACGACGCCGCGUGCGUAAUGCCCGCCUACGGGUUGUAAACAGCUGUGGACUGAAACGAGGCGGGAGUGACGGUACUGAAUAAGAAAGCACCGGCUAACUACGUG